rnacentral:rRNA from 1 species
ACGGGUGAGUAACACGUAGGACAUCUACCCCGAGGCGGGGCAUAGCCGAGGGAAACCUCGAUUAAUACCGCAUAUGGCCCACGGGUCAAAGUCUUCGGACGCCUUGGGAUGAGCCUGCGGCCCAUUAUUUAUUCCUAGUUGGUGGGGUAACGGCCUACCAAGGGUACGAUGGGUAGCUGGUCUGAGAGGAUGAUCAGCCACACUGGGACUGAGACACGGCCCAGACUCCUACGGGAGGCAGCAGUGGGGAAUCUUGCGCAAUGGGCGAAAGCCUGACGCAGCCAACCCGCGUGGGUGAUUGAAGGCCUUCGGGUUGUAAAGCCCUGUCGAGAGGGAAGAAGUUCUGACGGUACCUCUCAAGAAAGCACCGGCUAACUCCGUGCCAGCAGCCGCGGUAAUACGGAGGGUGCAAGCGUUGCUCGGAAUCACUGGGCGUAAAGGGUCCGCAGGCGGAUGCGCAGGUCUGAUGUGAAAGCCCGGGGCUCAACCUCGGAACUGCAUUGGAAACCGCGUAUCUUGAGUACGGGAGAGGAGAGUGGAAUUCCUGGUGUAGAGGUGAAAUUCGUAGAUAUCAGGAGGAACACCAGUGGCGAAAGCGACUCUCUGGCCCGAUACUGACGCUCAUGGACGAAAGCGUGGGUAGCAAACAGGAUUAGAUACCCUGGUAGUCCACGCCGUAAACGAUGAAUGCUAGCUGGUGGUGCAACUACCGUAUCGCCGGCACAGCCAACGCACUAAGCAUUCC